GACGAACGCUGGCGGCGUGCUUAACACAUGCAAGUCGAACGAAGAGCGAUGGAAGCUUGCUUCUAUCAAUCUUAGUGGCGAACGGGUGAGUAACGCGUAAUCAACCUGCCCUUCAGAGGGGGACAACAGUUGGAAACGACUGCUAAUACCGCAUACGAUCUGACCUCGGCAUCGAGGAUAGAUGAAAGGUGGCCUCUACAUGUAAGCUAUCGCUGAAGGAGGGGAUUGCGUCUGAUUAGCUAGUUGGAGGGGUAACGGCCCACCAAGGCGAUGAUCAGUAGCCGGUCUGAGAGGAUGAACGGCCACAUUGGGACUGAGACACGGCCCAGACUCCUACGGGAGGCAGCAGUGGGGAAUCUUCCGCAAUGGACGAAAGUCUGACGGAGCAACGCCGCGUGAGUGAUGACGGCCUUCGGGUUGUAAAGCUCUGUUAAUCGGGACGAAAGGCCUUUUUGCGAAUAGUGAGAAGGAUUGACGGUACCGGAAGAGAAAGCCACGGCUAACUACGUG
rnacentral:rRNA from 1 species